rnacentral:rRNA from 1 species
GACGAACGCUGGCGGCGUGCCUAAUACAUGCAAGUAGAACGCUGAAGGAGGAGCUUGCUCUUCUGGAUGAGUUGCGAACGGGUGAGUAACGCGUAGGUAACCUGCCUGGUAGCGGGGGAUAACUAUUGGAAACGAUAGCUAAUACCGCAUAACAUUGACUAUUGCAUGAUAGUUAAUUGAAAGGUGCAAAUGCACCACUACCAGAUGGACCUGCGUUGUAUUAGCUAGUUGGUGGGGUAACGGCUCACCAAGGCGACGAUACAUAGCCGACCUGAGAGGGUGAUCGGCCACACUGGGACUGAGACACGGCCCAGACUCCUACGGGAGGCAGCAGUAGGGAAUCUUCGGCAAUGGACGGAAGUCUGACCGAGCAACGCCGCGUGAGUGAAGAAGGUUUUCGGAUCGUAAAGCUCUGUUGUAAGAGAAGAACGAGUGUGAGAGUGGAAAGUUCACACUGUGACGUAUCUACCA